GUUGAAACACCAGUUCCCGUACGAUCACAGAAGUUAAGCAAUGUCGAGCCUAGAUGGGUGACCGCUUGAGAAUACCAGUUGCUGCAUGC
rnacentral:rRNA from 1 species